rnacentral:rRNA from 1 species
GACGUAGGGGGCAAGCGUUAUUCGGAAUUAUUGGGCGUAAAGCGCUCGUAGGCGGGACUGGAAGUCCGUGUUGAAAGACCUCGGCUCAACUGAGGGACCGGCUCGGAUACUCUAGUUCUUGAGGCAAUCAGAGGGUGAUGGAAUUUCCGGUGUAGCGGUGAAAUGCGUAGAUAUCGGAAGGAACACCAGUGGCGAAAGCGGCUUCCUGGUCCAGCACCGACGUUCAGGCACGAAAGCGUGGGGAGCAAACAGG